UUGGCAGCUAUAGACUUAGUGCCUAUGGGACAAACACCGGUAGCUAUGGACUUAGUACCUGUUAGACGUUGGUAGCUAUGGAUUUAGUACCUGUUGGGAAUUGGUAGCUAUGGACUUAGUACCUAUUAGUUAGACGCUGGUAGCUAAGGAUUUAGUACCUGUAGGAAUUGGUAGCUAUGGACUUAGUACCUGUUGAACAUUGGUAGCUAUGGACUUAGUACCUAUUAGAUAAAGACUGGUAGCUAUGGAUUUAGUACCCGAUGAAUAGACUAUAGCAGCUAUGGAAUUAGUGCUUUAUGAACGAACAUUGGCAGCUAUGGAUUUAGUGCCAGUCCUAUAACCCUGGAAGUAAGGGACUUCGGAAUAAACGAAUGCAGGAUAGACGACUCUUAGGUUAAAUCCUUAAGAGUAAAGAAGAUAACGGGGAUGGGUAAUUGGGUUAAUUGUUUGAUGAUUAAACAUAACAAUUAUAUUAUUGUGGGUUGAAAACCCUAUGUACUCACCAGGUUUCCCAACCUGACCCACUCAGUUUAUGUAUAUCACAGGUGACGAAGUGAAGUGACAUUACACUGAGAGAUUUAAAAGAGAUGUAGAUCACUAGUGUAAAUCAUUGUAAGUUCUGUUUAUGCUUAUGUUUCGGUAUUAACGAUGACAUCCCAAACAUUUUAAAAUGAAAUAAAUACGUUUCUUCGAAAAUGUUUUAAUAACGUAUUUACCAUGUUUUUCUGGGAACAAAUUCCGCAACCUUUUUAUAAAAUGAAGUACUCUGAUUUUUAUAAAGCAUAAACAAAAUCGGUCUUUUCUGGCCGUGAUUUUGGGGAUGUCACAGUUGGUAUCAGAGCAUUAGUUUAAGCGAACUAGGAAUAUGGAUUUAUUUCUAGACUUAAACUUAGAAUGCUAAGCGAUGAUUGUGAGGUGUGAGCACUAGCUUAUUUUAGGAAUUAUGCCUAAAAUGCUUUUAUGUGCUAAAUGCUUUGUGCAUGAUAUGUUGUUAAUUGUUCGGAUCUAUGGUCUGUUGCCGACCGGAUCUGGAAACCUUAUGUGUUUAGGAUUCUAAACGUACGACUACGGUAUUAGAACUAGCAUGUAAACGUUUCGGAGUGAUAAGGAUGAUUUAAACGUCAAGUAAAGGUCUAAAUUCACCUUAUUCGGUGUAUAGAUCGAGAUGGUAAGGACCCGUAGCGGAAACGUAAACGCAAAUGGGAACAGGAACCAACCCCCAGUGGUUCAGCAAAUACCUGUUGUAGAAGAAGUUGCGCCUGAGCCAGUCACCAUGGCUGGAGUUCAAGCCAUGAUUCGGGCUAUGUUGGCUGAACAAAGGGAAGAAAUGAGACGGAUGUUGAAUAGGGACGAACCUACUAUGCCCAUUGAGCAACCCGAACUGAUUCCCGAGCAAUCUGAGGAAGGGAACUACAGCCGCCAAGUGAGUCAAGUUGGGACUCAAGGUGAGCAAAGGGAUGGCCCAGAAGGGAGAAACAACAAGGAUGGGCGGAUGUACAAGAAUUUCUUGGGUGCGAAACCCCCAAGUCUCUCAGGAAGCCCGAAGCCGGUUGAGAUUAUGGAUUGGAUCUCUGAGAUGGAGAUGGUGUUUGAGAGCUGCAGCUGUAACGAGAAACAGAAGACUGUCUUCGCUGUAAGACAACUGAAAACUGGAGUCUUGAGCUGGUGGAAGCUAUUGGCAGAUACGAUGCCACGAGGAGAAGCCUUAAGGAUGUCGUGGGAAGAGUUUUUGGAACAGUUGAAAAUGCAGUACUGCUCGGAGGUAGAUCUGAUAGACCUAAACAACGAGUUUCAGAACCUGAAGAAAGGGAAGAUGAGUGUUGAUGAGUAUGCCACCGCAUUUACCGAGAGGAUGAAGCUAUUUCCCUACUUGGUGCCUACUGAACUCUCCAAGAUUGAUAGGUUUGCUAACGGACUGCCCACUGACUUUGGCCCAAUGGUCAAAAUGGCAACUACCUUGAAAGCAGCUGUUAGGGCAGCUAAGAACGUAGAGGCCCAGAUAAGAGAAAAGGGUCUAGAAAAAGAUAAGGCAGGAGAGAAGCGAAAGUUUGAGGGAUCUUCGAGGUCGAACAAGGAAAGAAAAUUCUCAAAACUUGGAGGAGCAGAUGGAGGUGAAGCAAGAUGGUGUGAUAGAUGCAAGAAGAAGCAUGGUGGGAAGUGCAAUGAAGAAGUGACUUGUUACAAGUGUGGGAGGACUGGUCACUAUUCCAAAGACUGCACACAUGAUGAUAAAGUAUGCUACGGAUGUGGAGGCAAGGGGCAUAUGUCCAGAGACUGCCCAAAGAAAAAUAAAGCAGUAAGACCAGAAACGCCACCAAGGCCAAGGGCAUUUCACAUGAUCCUCGACGAAGCAGAAAACCGUGCGAGGAAUCAAGGAUGAGGACUUCAUAUCAGAAGAUCAAGUUAUGUAGUAGCCAUAGUAUUUUAUGAUGUAGCCUAGUAGAGGCAUAGUCUAGGGUGAACUUGAACACCUAUGUAAUCGUUUCAAGAAUUAAUAUAAAACCUUCGUUUUGUUAUCUGAUGUGUCGAAUGAUUGUGUGAUUUGCUGCAUGGUGACUUGGGAAACUGCGAGACAAUACUUGGGACGAGUAUGAGUAGGUGUGAAUGGUAGUAGAGGCCUAUACUACCGGAAGCACAGGACUCACACUUGGAUCAGGGAAAGUCACAAGGUUACCAAGAAGCUAGUAAUUGAUUUCGUUUUAUUCAAGUGUGUUGUUACCAUCGUUUCGGUAAUGACUAAGAAGAUUGUUGAUAUUCCGACCCUAGUGGUCAUAUCGAAUCGAGUCCGACUACGAUGAGUAUGUUGUGUGGUUCAGAGAACCAAGUUUGAUGUAGCGUCCGACUUAAACCAAACGGUUGAAAUCAAAGCGAUCAAUAGAAGUAUCGCACUCGUUGUUAAAGAAGUUGGUGGCUAGAAAUGCCUAAUGUUAAAGUGUGAUUAUAUCACAUUAGAACAUGAAGGAAGGCAUAGUCUGUUUUAGAAUUUAACUCUAAGAGACCUAAGUCUAAGUGUUGCAACAUACGAUGAUAGGUCAUUAGAAUAUGACACAUCGAUCUAUAGUAGUAAUAAAAGAACUUAUCUCAAGUCCGUAUCCAGCAAGGAUCGAGAUUGUGACUUGAAGGUCAUAAUUUGGAGUCUAACCUGAGGUAGAGAGCAGGUGCACGAUCGAGUACUCUUACAGUCAAUGAGUUUAAGAGAUAGAAUUGAAGGAAUGUAGAAGUUAUAAUUAUUACCUAGGAUGAAGAGAUGACGUAUGGAGUCAUUAUACGACCCUGUUUCGUUGAUGAUUCCGGGACGUAAUCAUCCUAAGGGGGAGAUAAUUGUAACGCCCGCAAAUCUGGGCUAGUCAAAUUAGAGGCAAUAGGGGUCGAAAACGACUUUUCGACAAAAGAUUAUUUAGAAUAAAUAAUCUUAAUCAAGUUGUAGAGUAUGUUACAAGGUUUUCGUACAUAUAAAGAACGCCGAAAACCGAGUUAUAACGAAGAAGUUAUGACCCGUUGAAGUUUCGCGACGGAACCGGCACGAUACCGGGAAGCGUAAAUAGUGAAUUUACGAUAGAGCGAGAUUUAGCCUUAGCGAUCUAAACGAAAGUCGUAGAAUAUGUUAAACUAAGAACAUCGAUAAAAAGAACGCCCAAAUCUGACUUCGUAUGAGGAAGUUAUGAUUUUUCUAAGAUUUAGCAUAGCAGUGCACAGCCCGAAAUCUGAAUUUUAGAUCGGUCGAUUUUUAGCCGACGGGAUCUAAAUGAAAGUUGUAGUACUCGUAAAUACCAACGCGUGGAUAUAAAGAACGUCGAUAAUAGAGCUCGUAUGCAAAAGUUAUGGACGAAGCUUAGUCCCUACUUUUCGAGCGCGGCGAAUUCGAUACAGUUUUGUAAAUACGAGAUAGAAUGAGAAUUAGCCAACGAGGUCUAAAUGAGAGUUGAAGAUCUCAUUAAUAGGAACUCAACGGUAAAAAGACAGACAAAAAUGGAGCUCGUAUGCGAAAGUUAUGGACGAAGCUUAGUCCCUACUUUUCGAGCGCGGCGAAUUUGAUACAGUUUUGUAAAUCCGAGAUAGAAUGAGAAUUAGCCAACGAGGUCUAAAUGAAAGUUGAAGAUCUCAUUAAUAGGAACUCAACAGUAAAAAGACAGACAAAAACGGAGCUCGUAUGCAAAAGUUACGGACGAAGCUUGGAGACUACUUUACUAUACACUUCCUAUAAAUACAAGGGUGAACUCCUCAUAUUUUCUUCACACCAUAAGCCUUUCUUUCUCUCUCUAACUUCUCUCUAGCCUCCCUAAACCCCUCCCAAGUCUACGGAACCUCCCUAGCACGAGAAGAAAGCCCCGGAGCGCCCGACGGCUCCGAGAAGAAAAGCUUUCGGCUCGGAAACGCUGCUCCAGCGAAGCCCGGUUUUUAAUAAAAACCCGCUGUAAGUGAGCUACGCCUAUAGUAUAUUUAAUAUAGAUUUUAUUUAAUUAUAGUAACAUUGUUAGGACCUUAAAAUAAUUAUUUAGGCUAUUAUUAUGAGUUAUAUUGAGUGUUAUUUAACGCUUAUAUAAUAGUAAUAAUAGCUAGACUAUUAAAUUAGUCUCGUCAAGCGUUAGACUAAACUCUAGUGGUAAUGAUACUAGGUUUCGUCAAGGGAUAAUUGUUUUAAGAGUAACGAAGUGCUGUCCGAGUGCCGACUCACCACCUUUCAAGUGAGUGCAUAGUCCCUUUCAUCUUACACAUAGAUAUGAAGUAUUUUAUAUAAACUACGUGCUAUGUGUGCACAUUAUCUGAAUACUUGCUGUCUAUGCUGGUUGAACGUUUUAUACAUGUUUUAAAGGACUUAAACUGUAUACGUAUUUUAUAUAUACGAAAAUGUUGGGUAUGAGAUGGGUAGAUGAAUGAUGAGAGAUAGAAGAUGACGUGAGUAUACAUUGGCAGCUAUAGACUUAGUGCCUAUGGGACAAACACCGGUAGCUAUGGACUUAGUACCUUUUAGACGUUGGUAGCUAUGGAUUUAGUACCUGUUGGGAAUUGGUAGCUAUGGACUUAGUACCUGUUGAACAUUGGUAGCUAUGAACUUAGUACCUAUUAGAUAAAGACUGGUAGCU
rnacentral:lncRNA from 1 species